UUUUUACCGGAGAUAUCACCGGUUGGUUUUGUACCGAACCGUAUUCAUCUUUCUGGAGUAAUCGCUGGUCGUGUCGGUGUACACGCCCUACGGGGAAGUCUAAAGACACAGUCGGGUUCUCCACCUGUUACCUAUCGGUUCAGGAUCGGAUCAGUCGUCGUGGUAUCCCGGUGGUUCU
rnacentral:other from 1 species